rnacentral:misc_RNA from 1 species
GUCCAACUAAAAGUGAUCAAGAAACUUCUUCCCCAACAGAAAAAAAUGCAAAUGGACCAACCAGUGUUCAUGAUAAUGGUGAUAAAAAGGAGCCCCUGGUUACAUGGGUGCACAAAAAUUUCCAGGGUAUACUCACAAAUGAAACGAAGUGCUUGCGUUGUGAGACUGUAACUGCAAGAGAUGAGACAUUUCUUGAUUUGAGCCUUGACAUUGAACAGAACAGUUCAAUAACUAGCUGCCUGAAGAACUUUAGUUCCACAGAGACUUUG